rnacentral:rRNA from 1 species
UACAGAGGUCUCAAGCGUUGUUCGGAUUCAUUGGGCGUAAAGGGUGUGUAGGCGGCGCGGUAAGUCGGGUGUGAAAUCUCGGAGCUUAACUCCGAAACUGCAUUCGAUACUGCCGUGCUUGAGGACUGGAGAGGAGACUGGAAUUUACGGUGUAGCGGUGAAAUGCGUAGAUAUCGUAAGGAAGACCAGUGGCGAAGGCGGGUCUCUGGACAGUUCCUGACGCUGAGGAGCGAAAGCGUGGGGAGCGAACAGG